rnacentral:rRNA from 1 species
GAAAGCAUGGGGAGCGAACAGGAUUAGAUACCCUGGUAGUCCAUGCCGUAAACGAUGAAAAGUGGAAAGAACGAAUAUCGAUUCUCGUGGAUGAACGGAGGAAAUGGGAACUUGGUCUUU